AGCUUUAUGCAGUGGCAGUAUUGUAGCCAAUGAGGUUUAUCCAAGGUGUGAUUAUUGCUAAUUAAAGAUAAUCAAUAGCAAUAGAUGUGGGCGUACAUAUGUAUCACUCCAGCACUCUUGGGAGGCUGAAGCAGG
ensembl:snRNA U4 U4 spliceosomal RNA